ensembl:lncRNA
GUUUUAUCUCCUGGACAACAGCAUCCCACCUGUCUAUAACCUGGUGAACUGGCAGAGAGCUCCUGAUGGUUCGCUUAUAUAUAUUUCCAUUGGAAGAGUGGAUGGGAACCAGCUCAUUAUUAAUGAGUUUGCCAUUUCAUGGCCUGAAGACUCCAGGAAGAGGCCUGUGUCCAUGUGCACUUCUGAGUGUCCCCCUGGGACACAUAAAGCCAUUAAGAAGGGUCUGCCAGUGUGCUGUUUUGACUGCCUGCUCUGUACCGAGGGGGAAUCAGUAAUAGAGUCAUCAUAGCCACCAGAUCCAGUCUGUAUCCAGAUCAGAUGGUCACUGCAGUCAUCCGGAUUCAGUACGUAUCCAGCCCAGAUGGUGGAUCAGCACCUAGAGAUGACCUCUACAGCCCUAAAUGUCAGCGGAGACCAGGACAACUAGAUGAGUCCCAGAGACAGAUCCCCAGUGAAGACCUUGUCUCCUAGACGGCCACCGG